rnacentral:rRNA from 1 species
GAUUAACGCUGGCGGCGUGCAUAACACAUGCAAGUGAAGUGAAGUGGCGGACGGGUGAGUAACGCGUAGUAACCUGCCUUAGAGAAGGGGAUAGCCUUUGGAAACGAAGAAUAAUACCCUAUACUCUAAGAUGGACUUGCGUAUGAUUAGUUAGUUGGUGGGGUAAAGUCCUACAAAGGCGAAGAUCCUUAACUGGUCUGAGAGGAGGUUCAGUGAAACUGUGACUGAUACACGGUCCAGACUCCUACGGUAGGCAGGAGUGGGAAAUAGUGGACAAUGGGCGAAAGCUUGAUCCAGCCAUGCCGCGUGUGUGAAGAAGGUCUUCGGAUUGUAAAGCACUUUAAGUUGGGAGGCGUUACCAACAGAAUAAGCACCGGCUAACUUCGUGCCAGCAGCCGCGGUAAUUC